rnacentral:sRNA from 1 species
UGAUCAGAUGUUUAGAUUGAAUCGCUGGC